CUUGACGUACACCAACCUCUCUCUCCCUAUUCUCACCGUCUGUUUUUUCCUUCCGCAGCGGCGAUAGUGGUGGUGGAUAAGGGAGGGGAGCUUCACGACACUGAAAAGCCGAUGAUAGAUCAAAAAUGUGAGAGUGAGAUGAGCUUUGGGGGAGCGUGAUUUUUUAGUUUUCGUGGGAUGAGCUUUCAUUUUCCAUUUGCUUGCUGCAGCAUGCUGCUUGUUUUCUUUCCCAAAAGUCAUUCCUCGACUGUCGGUGUCCUUUUCAUUCAUUGGUGUCUGAUUCUGUUCAAGGGCAGAAAUUGAACGGAGCAGAUUGAGAAAUUCUUCAUUUUGCCUUUCAGAAGCAAUGACGAAGAUUUUAUGUUCAGAGGACAGGGAGGCAUGUGAUGAUGGUCAUGAGUCUGACGCCAUGCUCGGCAUCCCCUUCAUGAUCAUCAUCAUCAUGCAACCGCCCAAAACGCCGCCUAUCCUGCUUUCUUUCCAUGAUUGUCUUUGCAGAUAACCCUCUCUAUCUGUUGCUCUCUAUAUAUAUCAAUUCCCCUCGUCCCUCCACGUCUUCCACAUCUUCCUCUAAACUGAUAAACUCUGAUGCCGUGUGACUACAGCGUCUUUGGUUUGGGAAGAAGACGGUGGUUUGAAGGUGGUAUGGUGUCGGUGCCCCUUGUUUAAGGCCCUUCGCGUCAUGCUUGAUUUCCUCGCCCCUUCUGAAUCCCUAAGUACCCCCAUUUUUUGCCCUUUAGCUCUCGGGCUCUUUCUUCUAUUUGCUUUUUUGCUGAUCAGACUGUUGGUGGCACAAAAGAUGACUGAAUUUCUUUAUGAAUUGAAGGAAAAUCGGAAACAAAGUUGGCCAUUAUGUGAUGUUUUACAAAUGGUUAUUAAGCAAUAGUUGCAGACUUGUUCCAAAGAGAGUUUAGAAUACUGCCAUGCUUUAUGAUUUUUGAGCUUGGAUCGUUUCAGAUAAAAGUAGGUGAAGUUGCCAUCCCCUCUUUUGCUUCUUUUUUAUAUAUAUUAUAUUUUCACCAUUCAAACCUCAUGGUUCGUUUGUUAACUGAUCUUCUUUGUCAUGAGCUUUUGUUGUUCACUUACUUCUUUCUUUUUCGAUUCUUGAUUGGGUUGCGUUGGGUUUCCCUACAUGAAGAUAAUAACUCUUUCUGCCUGUCUUAAUGUUGGUUUCUGUUUUUCUUUUUCCAUUUGUCUUAAUGUUGGUAAGCCUAACACAUGCUACCUUUACCAAGGCACCAUAUAUUCAUUCCAAGUUCCAGACCAUCACUCACUUUGGCAUUGUGGAACCUGGAACUUUUGUUCCACCCCAUACUGCAAAUAAGUGUGUACAGUAUAGCUGCUGUUGUUUGCAGAUGGCUUUCGAACUUUAUGGAAUGCUUGCUGGCAAUGUGAGUCCAAUGACAGGUGAAACUAUAAAGCCCGCUUGUGGCGGUGAGGAGGAGGCCUUUCUGAAAAAAGUGGUCACACCAAUCUAUGAAACAAUUGCACAGGUUUAUCUCUGUAUCUAUUUGUUCAGAUGCUAAUUAAUGAAAUCUAUAUGUUUAUUCCGCCCAAGUUUCUGUAUAAUCAUCUUCUCUUUGAUCUUGUCAUGCAUAGCCAUUUUAUUUCUCUCGUGCAUUUAAAAAGAUGUAUCUGAUAUGCGUAAUUGUUAUGUGAGGAGAUGAUAUCCUUUAAAUGGUCAAAAAAAAUUUUCUUGAAAAAAUUUUCCUGUCUAUCACACUAGGCAAUUUUUUCCCUUCAAAAAAGUUCCAAGCUAUCAAACAUGGCCUGAAACAAGAAAAUGGGAAUUUUACCCUCCUGUCAGUUUACCAUGGAGAUUUUACCCUUGAAAAAAUUUCCCCUCAAAAAAAUCCAAGCCAUCAAACGUGGCCUAAAGAUAAAUAUUGGUCUGUCCCCGUUUCUUGCGAGAUUUUUCUUUGGUGUCUCCAACUGCAUUUGCAUUUUUCUGUUUUCAUGUCCUAUGCCUGCAAAAGGUGUAUCUGCAUGAUCAACAUGUUACAUGUUUCUGGUCUAUGUGACAUGAGUACGCAGAAGCAGGCACGGCUACGCUACUAGGUACAGGUUGGAUUCUGGGUCAGACUUGAUCCAAACCAUAAAAAUCUUUCUUUCGUUUUAACUGAUGGAAAACAAGUCGAGCUCUGCAACCUACCUGUGCUUUUUUCAACCCUCGUUUACAGUAGCAAUGAAUGGCGGUGACGACGACAUCCAGUGACCCAGGGGGUAAUCAGCUUCCUGCUGAGGAAGCUGUUCAACGGAUUCUUCAGGUUGGGGGAAUCGCUGCUUAUCGGAAACAGAGUUGUAUAUUAUUUUCUUUGUACUGUAUUUGGAAAAAUAACAUAAACAAAUUGUAUAA